rnacentral:rRNA from 1 species
CAGAGGGCGCGAGCGUUGUCCGGAAUCACUGGGCGUAAAGGGCGCGUAGGUGGCCACCAUAAGGCCGCGGUGAAAGUUCGGGGCUCAACCCCGGAUCGGCCGCGGCGACUGUGGGGCUUGGGUACUGUAGAGGCAGGUGGAAUUCCGGGUGUAGCGGUGGAAUGCGUAGAGAUCCGGAAGAACACCAGUGGCGAAGGCGGCCUGCUGGGCAGUGGGACCGAAAGGUCCCUUCAACCGACACUGAGGCGCGACAGCGUGGGGAGCAAACAGGAUUAGAUACCCUGGUAGUCCACGCCGUAAACGAUGGGCACUAGGUGCUCCGGGGGAGCGACCCUUGGAGUACCGGCGCUAACGCAUGAAGUGCCCCGCCUGGGGAGUACGGCCGCAAGGCUG